rnacentral:pre_miRNA from 1 species
AACUUAAAAGUAGAAGGGAAGAGACAAGUGAAGAAGAGAACGUCUCAAAGACGUUCUCUUCUUCACUUGUCUCUGCCCCUUCUACUUUUAAGUUU